AUGAAUGGCAGCCUCGUUCCCAGUCCAAAUCCCACCGCACCAAGAAGCCUAUGGCAUCGCAGUAGUAGUUCGUUUUAUUGACACUUCUCACGUGGUUGGUCAGACGCAAAAUCAGACGGUUCUCUGAAUAGUUUUGGCAAUGGACCGAAGAAACCACGGACACAUGUUACUCAUAUCCUUCUGGAGCUUCAGGUUCAAGCUCAAAGCCACAGCAGGGAACAAUUCCUCACAAAAGAAUCAGGAAACCCAAUGAAAAGAGGGCCUCAGAUGUCGCCCGAGUUCCUCAAAGAAACUGGGAGUUGUUAUCGUGUCAUGCGAACUUGUUAAUUACAGUGGGGGACAAGGGAUGGGGAGAGAGUGGGGCAGAGGUGGUACUUGAACUUGUUGAGAAUGAGUGGAACCUUGCAGUAAAAGUUUCAGGAACCACAAAAUAUUCUCAUAAAGCACAUCAGUUUCUGCAGCCUGGGUCCACUAACAGGUAUAAACAUGCUAUGAUGUGGCGAGAAGGGAAAGAGUGGACACUCGAAUUUUCAGACAGAAGCCAAUGGGCUCUUUUCAAGGAGAUGCAUGAAGAGUGUCACAACCGAAACUUCCGUGCUGCAUCAGUCAAGAACAUUCCAAUUCCUGGUGUCCGUGUGGUAGAAGAUUAUGAGAUAAUGGAAUGGAGCUGUCAUUUCGCAGUUCUGCUAUCUACUGCCAGCAGGUUGAAACAGAUAUUGAAAUGGCCUUGAAUCCAUCUCGUGUCCUUUAUGACAUGGAUAGCGAUGAUGAGCGGUGGAUUUCAUCUCGUCAAAGUUCUUCAGAUGUUAAUGAUAAUGGCUAUGGGCACAUAUCUGUGGAGAUGUUUGAGAGGACAAUGGACAUGUUUGAGAAGAAAGCUCAUGCUCUACAGCGUGACCAUUUCACAUCCGAGGAAAUGGACGAUUUGAAGUUAGGUGCAGGACCUGUGGUAAGAGGUCUUUAUGAACAUUGGCGGCAGAAGAGGUAAAAGAAGGGAAUGCCAUUGAUUCGACAUCUUCAGCCACCAUUAUGGGAAAUGUACCAGCAGCAGUUGAGAGAGUGGGAGCUAGCUUUGAAUAAAGGGAACUCUGCUGCUUCUGAUGGAUGUCAGAAGGCCUCAGCUACUGAAAGACCUCCCAUGUUUGCUUUCUGUAUGAAACCUAGGGGCUUAGAAGUCCCUAAUAAAGGCUCAAAGCAAAGAUCGCAAAAACGAUACUCAGUCACGGGGCAAAGCAAUGGUUUUCAUGGAGAUCAGGACAGUUUCCAUACUUAUGGGAGGAGAUUGAACGGACCUAGUUUUGGAGAUGAUAGGGCCGUCUAUUUGGGACCUAACUAUGGACAUGCAGACAAUUCUCAAAUGGCACAGACGUCUCCAUUGGGAUAUUCUCCACGAGAUGUCCCUGGCCAGGGAUAUUUUCCAAUUGGCAAUGAUGGAUUCAAUCGAAAUUAUCCUCCGAGACUACAGAGAUAUAAGUCAAAGAAGUCUGGUGCUGUUGCAUCUCCUCGACAUUCACAGGUGGUCACUGCCUACAGCAGGGGAGCCACGGGCAGUAAUAAGAAUACCCAUCACUGGAAUUCUCAUCAACAGUUUUCGUCCGAAGGCUCUCAGAGACCAUCUAGUGAGCAGUGGGACCGGAUGGAUAUGGAUGAAUAUAAAUUGUUGGAUGCAUCUGGUGCAGCACGGUAUGCAUCUAAUUUAGCUAAGCUUAAGAGAGAGAGGGCACAGAGACUUCUUUGCAAAGCAGAUGUAGCAGUUCACAGAGCUGUGGUUGCUCUCAUGACUGCUGAAGCGAUGAAAGCGUCUUCGGAGGAUAGGAAGGAUGAUGGGUAGGUUAUCUGAAGAUUAUCAGUUAACAGAUUGGUAUAGUUCUCAAUUUGAACCCGAAGAAUGUGCAGAUGGCAUGAAAAUAUUUCUCGAGGCGGGAGCUGGUCCAAGAUUUUAUCAGAUGCUGGUGCGCCUUUCACCAUGCACAGUUUUUGAAGAAGUUUGUGGAGAGGGUAUUCAUAGAGAUAUAUUUGGUUAUCACAUUUAAUUGUCGAUAUUUUGACAGUUUUCUAGUCCAUCCUUGCAAUACCUUAGUGAGAUUCCAGUAGUCUCUUACACCAGCAGCAAGUGUAUGCCUCAUUAGUGCUGCUUGUCGUGUUUAUUUUGCAAGAGCAUUGUAUAGAAUCUUUUCCUACCAUUCUCUGUACAGUCAGCCCACCCCCUCUAUCAAAUAAGAAAGAAAAAAAAAGGAAAUGAAGAGAGAUUGACCAAACGUAAUUGGUUUUGGCCAGAA